rnacentral:rRNA from 1 species
CACCCAGGACGGUGGAUCACUCGGCUCGUGGGUCGAUAAAGAACGCAGCAAAUUGCGCGUCGACAUGUGAACUGCAGGACACAAGAACAUCGACGUUUCGAACGCACAUUGCGGUCCAUGGAUUCCGUUCCCGGGCCAAGUCUGGCUGAGGGUCGGCU